rnacentral:misc_RNA from 1 species
AAUUUUUUUUUUUUUUAAAAAAAAGGAAGAAGAUAAAAAGACUAGGCCCAGCCGCCCAGAUCCAUGCAAGCCAGCAGUUAAUCGCCGGAAUCAUCGUCGCCACCGAAGAUGGACAUGCGAUUGUAAAGCAAGAACAAGAUCAGAACCAGAAAGAGCGCUACGCCGACAGGUGAGCCACUGACUCGGUGAAUGGUGUCAGGUUCGCCAGUAGAGAAGAUGGUGGAGACAAAAGAGCCGCGAUCGGAGGAGAGGAACUGGAUGAUCAAGAGAAGGAUAAUGGGGAGGAGGAGGAGACCCACAGGGCUUAAGAGCUCGGUGAUGGCCUCAGUUAUGGCCUCACCUUGGUCACCGAGCAGGAAUGGAGCCAGCACCACCGUGCAUACUACUACUGCUAGUAUGAUUCCAUGAGGUGCCCCGCCUCGAGGUCUGUCUUCUAUCAUUUUGGCGUGGGUUUCUUGGAGUGGUUGUGGUUUUCUAAUAGCAAAUGGGAAAUGGGCC